CCUACGGGAGGCAGCAGUGGGGAAUAUUGGACAAUGGGCGAAAGCCUGAUCCAGCCAUGCCGCGUGUGUGAAGAAGGUCUUCGGAUUGUAAAGCACUUUUAAGUUGGGAGGAAGGGCAGUUACCUAAUACGUGAUUGUUUUGACGUUACCGACAGAAUAAGCACCGGCUAACUCUGUGCCAGCAGCCGCGGUAAUACAGAGGGUGCAAGCGUUAAUCGGAAUUACUGGGCGUAAAGCGCGCGUAGGUGGUUAGUUAAGUUGGAUGUGAAAUCCCCGGGCUCAACCUGGGAACUGCAUUCAAAACUGACUGACUAGAGUAUGGUAGAGGGUGGUGGAAUUUCCUGUGUAGCGGUGAAAUGCGUAGAUAUAGGAAGGAACACCAGUGGCGAAGGCGACCACCUGGACUGAUACUGACACUGAGGUGCGAAAGCGUGGGGAGCAAACGAGGAUUAGAUACCCUGGUAGUCCACGCCGUAAACGAUGUCAACUAGCCGUUGGGAGCCCUGAGCUCUUAGUGGCGCAGCUAACGCAUUAAGUUGACCGCCUGGGGAGUACGGCCGCGAAGGUUAAAACUCAAAUGAAUUGAACGG
rnacentral:rRNA from 1 species